CCAGGAAGAGAGAGAGAGAGAGAACCAGCUGAGACGAGGAGCACGAAGGUCACCGGCCACCGAGGUAUAAUUAGUCCGCCGCUUAUGGGGCCAGCGGACCGCCCCGCGUCUCCCGCCGCCACGUCGCUCGGAAAAUCGGACUUUGUUCGAACACGUGCGGACCAGACGCGCCUUCCAACCCUGGGAAACCUCGGCCCGGAAGAUCCUUGGCCCGCGGAGGACUUCCAGAAACGGUGGUGGAGGACUUCCCGACUCUUUUUACGGACAGAGUGGAUUUUCCAAACGGGAGCGCGCGGCCACGGUGUAUGUAUAGACCGGCAAUUAGACUGGCGCGCUAUUAAUGGAAGGAACCUCGCUGCAGCUUUCAUCGGUGUUGCCUAAACAAGAAGCUCGGACGUCCCCGGAGCCCGGCGAUGGCGGGGAGGAGGGGGAUGGAUGCUUUGAGAUUUUUCAGACAAUUCGUUUGCCGGGAGACGGAGGAGCAAAGGGCGGCAGGGGCAAUUGCUCGGGACGUCGGGGGAGGAAGGCGCAGGUAUUCUUUCCAAGGCGGAACACUUUACUGCUGCUCGUUCCGCGCUGGUAAUGGAGAAUCCCCCAGCCACCCCGAGGAAUUAAUUCGGGGCUAACGCCGAGACACUCCCCGAUAUCGAGUCACUUUGCUCUCCGCGGGAUCGCCGUGUUGGCAUCCGCUCGCCACCCUCUUCGGGGUUAGCUUCUCCUCCCUCGUUCCCUCCACCGUUCCUCUCGGACCGUACUUUUGGACCACUUUGCCUUUUCCAACGGGCUCGAAACGAUUUCUAAUUGGCCCCCUAAUUUCCCUAGCUCUCUCCUCUCUCUCUCUCUCUCUCUCUCUCUCUCUCUCUCUCUCUUUCUCUCUCUCUUUAUAUCUAUCUAUAUAUCUAUCUAUUUAUCUCUGUCUCUCUUUCGAAUUUGUUUCAGUAGGUCAUCCGACGGAAAAAAGAGAAGAUCCGGCCCCGAAACAAGGGAGGAACCGGCGUAACGGUCGCUGGUGCAGCAGACUGGGAGCGUUUGGCUCCGGUUCGCGCCAUUAAUCGUGCGUUUAAACGGGCCGAGCCUCUUUAUUGCCUAGACCGCGGUUUUCAAGAUGAGAAGCGAGCUCCUGGCGACGUUCCACGAGAACCGACAAACUCCCGCAGCUUUUUAAUUAGCCCGGGAAGAAAUCGUUGGAGAGAACACCGGAACACUCCUCUCUCCCU